UACAGAGGGUGCAAGCGUUGUUCGGAAUCAUUGGGCGUAAAGCGCGUGUAGGUGGCUUUCUAAGUCUGGUGUGAAAUCCCGGGGCUCAACCCCGGAAGUGCACUGGAUACUGGAGAGCUAGAGGGCGAGAGAGGAGAUUGGAAUUCAUGGUGUAGGGGUGAAAUCCGUAGAUAUCAUGAGGAACAUCUGUGGCGAAGGCGAAUCUCUGGCUCGUUUCUGACACUGAGACGCGAAAGCGUGGGGAGCGAACAGG
rnacentral:rRNA from 1 species